rnacentral:rRNA from 1 species
UACGGAGGGUGCAAGCGUUAUCCGGAUUUACUGGGUUUAAAGGGUGCGUAGGUGGGCAGGUAAGUCAGUGGUGAAAUCUCCGGGCUUAACCCGGAAACUGCCAUUGAUACUAUCUGUCUUGAAUACCGUGGAGGUGAGCGGAAUAUGUCAUGUAGCGGUGAAAUGCUUAGAUAUGACAUAGAACACCUAUUGCGAAGGCAGCUUACUACGCAAUCAUUGACGCUGAGGCACGAAAGCGUGAGGAUCAAAACAGG